CAGAAGGGAGCUUGCUCCCGAGAUGUUAGCGGCGGACGAGUGAGUAACACUGUGGGUAACCUGCCUGUAAGACUGGGAUAACUCCGGGAAACCGGAGCUAAUACCGGAUAGUUCCUUGAGCCGCAUGGUUCAAGUAUGAAAGACGGUUUCGGCUGUCACUUACAGAUGGACCCGCGGCGCAUUAGCUAGUUGGUGGGGUAAUGGCUCACCAAGGCGACGAUGCGUAGCCGACCUGAGAGGGUGAUCGGCCACACUGGGACUGAGACACGGCCCAGACUCCUACGGGAGGCAGCAGUAGGGAAUCUUCCGCAAUGGACGAAAGUCUGACGGAGCAGCGCCGCGUGAGUGAUGAAGGUUUUCGGAUCGUAAAGCUCUGUUGUUAGGGAAGAACAAGUGCGAGAGUAACUGCUCGCACCUUGACGGUACCUAACCA
rnacentral:rRNA from 1 species